GGGAAGGUCCUCAACCUGCCCUUCGCUCCCUAACCCGUGGACCCCACUCUCAAUGCCAAAGUCUGACUCCUGGGCAAGAGGCCGGGUGAGAGCCGCCGUCACCAGUGAGGCUGAACAGUACAAUCUAAACAGGUCACUCUGGCCACUGAGCAGGGAGCAGCUUCUCUGUGGCACACGCUUGCGCACUGCACUACCUGAAGACGAUUCCCAGUCAAAGGCGGGCGGCAGCUCAGAGUGGAGACCGCGGCCACGGCAGCUGCCCUCGGGGGUGUGGGGAGCAGGGCCCGGAACACACGGCACCUGCCUUCACAGCAGACCGCAACCACAGGACCGGGGAGCGAGCCCAUGUCCAUCCACAGCUGAGUGGGCACACGUGUCCCCUCCCAAGGAGGGGGCCCCCGCUCAGCCUGGGAGGGAGGGACAGCCUGACGCCUGCCCCAGCAAGGACAGACCUGGGGACGGGGCACCCCGUGCAGAGAGCCUGUUGUAAGGGGACACAGGCUGCAGCAUCCACCCAAGAGGUCCCUGGGGUCUCAGAUCCACAGACAGGAAGCAGCAGGCAGGAGUCAGACUGGGAGGGGCAGUGGUCAGUGCUGAAGGGGCAGAGCUCAUGUGGGGAGGUGGAAAGUUCUGGAGGUGGUGGUGGGGAUGGCUGCACAGCCCUGUGAUUGUGCUCCCUGACUCUGAGCUCUCCAUAUCAAUUUUCAUCAUGCAUGUUUUACCAUAAUAAAAAACCAGUUCCUACAAAUUAGAAGGAAAAUGCUAAGAAUCCAAUAGACAGACCCAGAAUGUGUGCAGGGAACACAUGCAAAAGCAUUACCAGUCAGGCAUGGUGGCUAGACCUGUGAUCGCUGCAACUCAGGAGGCCGAGGCAGGAGGAUCAGAAGUUCAAGGGCAGUCUCAGCAACUUAGUGAGACCCUGUCUCAAAAUAAAAAAUAAAACUGGAGGGGUAGCUCCAGGGGUAGAGCACCUCUGGGUUCAACCUUCAGCACCAAAAAUAAAUGUGAAAAUCAG
rnacentral:lncRNA from 1 species